rnacentral:rRNA from 1 species
CUCAGUAACACGUGGUCAAGUUACCCUGUGGACCAGAAUAACCCCGGGAAACUGGGGCUAAUCCUGGAUAAGGCUCCUGCUCUGGAGAGAGCGGAGCUGGAAACGCUCCGGCGCCACAGGAUGCGACUGCGGCCGAUUAGGUAGACGGUGGGGUAACGGCCCACCGUGCCCAUAAUCGGUACGGGUUGUGAGAGCAAGAGCCCGGAGAUGGAUUCUGAGACAAGAAUCCAGGCCCUACGGGGCGCAGCAGGCGCGAAACCUUUACACUGUACGCAAGUGCGAUAAGGGGACCCCGAGUGCGAGGGCAUACAGUCCUCGCUUUUGUGUACCGUAAGGUGGUACACGAAUAAGGGCUGGGCAAGACCGGUGCCAGCCGCCGCGGUAAUACCGGCAGCCCUAGUGAUGGCCGCUAUUAUUGGGCCUAAAGCGUCCGUAGCCGGCCGGACAAGUCCGUUGGGAAAUCCGCACG